CACUUUUUUCUCUCUCUAUCUCUCACUUUCUCUUAUCUUAACAGUGGUGCAGUUUGGACAAUCACCACUUGAUGGCAGUGUUCAACCAGAAUCUAAUAUACUGAUAUACAGUAACAUUCACAAAGUAUUCAGUAACAUUCAGAAAGUAUUCAGACCCCUUGACUUUUUACACAUUUUGUCACGUUACAGCCUUAUUCUAAAAUGAAUUAAAUGUGUUUUUCCCCUCAUCAAUCUACACACAAUAACGCAGAAUUACAAAGCAAAAACGGUUCACUUUAUGUGUGAACAUUUUUAUUUAAAAAAAAGUAGAUAUCACAGAGAGAGAGGGAGAGUAGAGAGUCAGACAGAGGGAAAGAGAGAGAUGGAGGGGAGAGAGUCAGAACAGAGGGAAGAGAGAGAUGGAGGGUAGAGAGUCAGAACAGAGGGAAAGAGAGAGAGGGAGGGUAGAGAGUCAGAACAGAGGGAAAGAGAGAGAUGGAGGGUAGAGAGUCAGAACAGAGGGAAAGAGAGAGAUG